UACGUAGGUGGCAAGCGUUGUCCGGAUUUACUGGGCGUAAAGAGCGCGCAGGCGGUCGUUCAAGUCGCGUGUGAAAGCCCCCGGCUCAACUGGGGAGGGUCACGCGAUACUGAUCGACUCGAAGGCAGGAGAGGGUAGUGGAAUUCCCGGUGUAGUGGUGAAAUGCGUAGAUAGUCGGGAGGAACACCAGUGGCGAAGGCGACUACCUGGCCUGUUCUUGACGCUGAGGCGCGAAAGCUAGGGGAGCAAACGGG
rnacentral:rRNA from 1 species